rnacentral:rRNA from 1 species
GAACUGUGCAAACGUUAUUCGGGAAUCACUGGGCUUAAAGGGUGCGCAGGCGGCUUGAUAAGUAGGAUGUGAAAUCUCCCGGGCCCAACCGGGGAACUGCGUUCUAAACUGUCAGGCUUGAGUGAGAUAGGGGUGUGCGGAACUUCCAGUGGAGCGGUGAAAUGUGUUGAUAUUGGAAGGAACACCGGUAGCGAAAGCGGCACACUGGGUCUCUACUGACGCUCAUGCACGAAAGCCAGGGUAGCGAACGGGAUUAGAUACCCCGGUAGUCCUGGCUGUAAACGAUGAGCACUAGACGGGAGGGGUUUCGGCCCAUCCGGUCACAGCGAAAGCACUAAGUGCUCCGCCUGGGGAGUAUGGUCGCAAAGGCUG